rnacentral:lncRNA from 1 species
CUCCUGCUUCAGGUGCAGAAACACAGCUAUUUCCAGUGCCAGCUGUUGAGCCAGUGCCAGCACCAGGGGCAGAGCCCCUUCCAGGGACAGCGCUGGAGCUAGAGGAACCUCCAGAGCCUUCCUGCCGCUGCCCUGGGACUGCACAGGACCAGCCCAGUGAGAAGCUGCCUGACUUCAUGGCACCUCCUGUAGAGCCACCGGCCUCAGCCCUGGAGCUGAAAGUGUGGCUGGAGCUAGAGGUGGCAGAGAGGGGGUGACCAGCACAGCUCCAGCCAGCAGCUCCCACACUGCUCCCAGUCCUGGGCACAGUGGAAGCUAUGGAGGCAGAGACCAGGGUGUGCAACCUGGGCUCCUCUGCCUCACUGGAGAGGGACUUCUCUCAUUCAGCAGAGCAGCAGCCCUGCUGCUGAAGGCCCUGCUGCUACUGCUGCUGGGGGUGUUUGCCUGCCUGCAGGAGGUGCUGGAGAGCAAGAAAAGGAGCCUGUGAGCAGGGGUUCCAGCAGGUCCUCCGGCUCCCAGAGGUGACCUCCUCCUCCAGGAAUGGAGGUUUGCCCUCAGCUGGGCAUCUGGGCCAUUUGCCUCUAA